rnacentral:lncRNA from 1 species
CAGAAUCUCGGAUUCCUUGUAGCAAUGGCAACUCAAGCUUCUCUCUUCACACCCACCAUCAUCUCCACCCUUAAAUCAAGCAACCAUGUGAUGGUGCCAUGGAAACAAUCCUCCUUUAUCUCAAUCCCUACCUCUGCUAAAAAAUACUCCAACCCUCAAACAACCAUCAAGGCUACUGCUGCAGAGGGAAAAACUGAGGAGGCUCCUGUGGGAUUCACACCACCAGAGUUGGACCCAAAUACCCCAUCACCAAUAUUUGGCGGCAGCACUGGUGGGUUGUUAAAGAAGGCCCAGGUGGAGGAGUUUUACGUGAUCACUUGGGAUUCACCGAAGGAACAAAUAUUUGAAAUGCUCACUGGUGGUGCAGCCAUUAUGAGGCAAGGUCCUAACUUGCUUAAGCUGGCAAGGAAAGAGCAGUG